UUAAAAAAAAAAGAUGUCAGACACUUAACCAACUGAGUUACCCAGGUGCCCCAUCCCAAAAUCUUUUCUAUAAAAUUAGAACACAGAGUGCCAAAGCCACAAAAGCAGCCACAGAACUUGUAACUUUCCAUGUUGUUAGGUAUGGUUUCCCACCAUAAGGACUGAAGUGGAUUAGAGAGCCUAAGUGCUAACAAGCAAGAACUUGCAAUCUUUAUACCCUGAACCAGCCUUUCCCAAAAAUCCUCUCUGUGCCCAGCACUUUGCUGGGGACUGUGGAUUCCAAGAUGGAAAAACACUAUUCCUGUCCUCUGGGCAUGCCAUCUAGUUGGAGAGAAGCCCAUAGUGAUAGUCACCAGACAGAGCGAUGGAGGCUCUCUCAAGGCAAAGGAGGAUGGAUAAUUCAUGAGUGAAACACCUACCACUGUGCCUGGGUGUUGCUCACCAAGGCUGGAGCAUAUGCUAAUGAGAGGACCCAGGCAGGAGAGGGUGCUGAAAAAGUGGCCCAGACAGUCCACAAAGGGCCAUGUGUGCCAUACUGGGAAGUUUGGACUGAGACCUGCUUUUUAUUUGGAAUUUGUGGUCAUUUGAUCUAUAAAUUAGAAUGUAUAGUAAUUCGGUGGAAUAUUAAAAUAUGUUAGCAGUAUUAUAAAUAAAAGUCUGAUUGACUUCAAAAUAAGAAAACCAUGACCUAAAAUUUGGUCCUUUGUAUUCUAAAAGGGUUCUUCAAAGGAUGGCAAAAAAGACAGACAUGCAAAUCAGAUGUUUUCAAUGGCUCGUACCCCUAAGCUGAUGGUAACUAUCGCCACAAUGUGUGGGCCUAUCAGACUGUGACUCUACCUAAAUGAUCUCAAAAUAGCUCUGCUCUGCUCUCUGCGGCAGGCAAGCGUCUGCUCUAUUCGGCAGUAGCUCAUUCUUUACUAUUGUUGCUAUGUGACAAACUAUUGGCUCUUACAGUUAAUCUAAGCCUGCCAGGGAAGGAGGGCGGGCAGAGGGCUUUGGGAGAAGCAUCUUUCCUAGAAUCUAAUGUAACAAACGUGUCCUGAGAAUUUCCUAGGCACUCCUGUGGUACCUGGUCCUGAAGAUACAGAGAUCCAGUUCAGAUCAUUGAACAUUUAUUGAAUAGCUCCUGUAUGGAGGCACUGCGCUGGGCUCCAGCAAUGCAAUGAUAAAUAAAAUUCACAUGAUUUCUGCCCUCAGCUUCUCGCAAACUAGUGAUAUAUGCUCAUAAACAGGAAACUAUAAUCUAAUAUACAAGAUGCAAUGAUAGAGUCUUGGGUGCUAGGUGAACACUCAGAUGGGGUGCUUUACAUGGGUUCAGCUUUGGACAUGGUGAUGUGCUUGUGGGACACCCAUAUGGACAUCUCCGAUGGACAGAUGGAUAUACAGGUCUAUAGGGAACUCAGACUCAGUCUUUACCCUGGAGGAACUUGCUAUUGACUGAAAGAGACAAAUAUAAAUACAGAGAUCAAUUAAAUGCUCACAAUUACAAUUCACACAAAGAUGUUGGUACAACUACCUUGGCCUGAAAGUUUAGAUGUCCCUCUAGGCAAUAGCCUAGGAACUGAGUCUUGAAUGAUUCAGAGUGGCUAUCCUGGUAAAACAAAACAAACCAAAUCAACUAACAAACAAAAACAAUAAGCCUUACCUGAAAUAAUUAAACAACUUUUUGGCCUGCAGUCCAGGCAUAGGUAAGGGGAGAGUGCCCAGGAGGUGAUACAGCAAACACCAUAAAGCCCAGAUCCUGGACUGUGGGUACUGGUGAUCUGGUGAUGUGGCUUAUUGGGGAGCUAAAUGUGUGGCAUCAACUGAUGACAAGAGACGUUCUGGAGUUAUGAGGUCAUAGAGGCAUACAAAGCAGCAAACCCAGUGUUCCACAGAUUGCCAACCUGAAAAACAUCUUCUUCCAUAGGACUUCAGAUGCAUCUCCCUGACACACAGAGGUGACUCCCAGCUUCCAGGUUUGGGCAACUCAGUGGUGAAUGAUGGUAUGUAUUGAGAGAAAACACAAGAGAGGAAGAAGGUUCAAGGACGAAAAUGGGCAUCUGACUCUUCUAGCUUAAGGUCCCUGCAAGACACCGGAGUAGUUAUCUUCCAAGCAUCGCCAGACACUUUGUGUGAGGUACCACCAAGCCUAGAGAACACAGAGACAAACCAGAACCUGUCCUUGACCUUGUGGAACUUCAGGGCCAGGAAAGAGUGAAAUUAGUGAGCCUUAUGAGAAGAGUAGGGGAACACAGGACACUGUGGGAACACAGAGAAGGGAAGGGAGACAAAUCCACCUUGUGCAAGAGGUUCCUCAGUAGAAGA